rnacentral:misc_RNA from 1 species
UGCGACCUGUAACAUAAAUAACAGAUAUACAAUUAAUCAACUGAUUACAUAACUUACCUAAUGUAUGACUUAUUUUAUAAUAUCCAUCUCUACCGGAACGGGAUGGAGGGGAGUGGAUCUUUGGAGAGACUCGUUGAUGUCCUGAUUUGCUUGCUGCAUCGCGCAAUGGGCAUCUACCAGAAAGAAAGAAGAAAUAUCACAUGUACAAUUCUAGUCACGAUAUAACAAUCGCUUAUAUUUGUAUUCUUUUUGUAUCCACGAUAAAGAUCAAUAAAUCAUUCCGAAUCUCAUUGAGAAAAGAAAUUGAGUGAAUCAUUGUAAAAUCAUCCCCACGAAUUUUUCUGGAGCUGCAUUGAGUGCAUUUGCUAUACAUCCUUCAGCGAAGCUCGUAAUAACGUAAUCAAACUACAAUGGAAAACAGACGCUUGAGCGAUUUGAAAACUAUUUCAUGGACGGCCCAAAAAAUUAGAAAAAAUUUUGUAUAGAAAGUUGAUUGAGAAUAAUGGCUAUAUCUUAUUUGUAUUACAUAGAUAGAUCAAUUGAUUAUCU